GAGUUUGAUCCUGGCUCAGGACGAACGCUGGCGGCGUGCUUAACACAUGCAAGUCGAGCGGUAAGGCCUUUCGGGGUACACGAGCGGCGAACGGGUGAGUAACACGUGGGUGACCUGCCCUCAGCUCUGGGAUAAGCCUGGGAAACUGGGUCUAAUACCGGAUAUGACCUGCUGCUUCAUGGUGGUGGGUGGAAAGUUUUUCGGCUGGGGAUGGGCCCGCGGCCUAUCAGCUUGUUGGUGGGGUGAUGGCCUACCAAGGCGACGACGGGUAGCCGGCCUGAGAGGGCGACCGGCCACACUGGGACUGAGACACGGCCCAGACUCCUACGGGAGGCAGCAGUGGGGAAUAUUGCGCAAUGGGCGGAAGCCUGACGCAGCGACGCCGCGUGGGGGAUGACGGCCUUCGGGUUGUAAACCUCUUUCGACAGGGACGAAGCGUGAGUGACGGUACCUGUAGAAGAAGCACCGGCCAACUACGUGCCAGCAGCCGCGGUAACACGUAGGGUGCGAGCGUUGUCCGGAAUUAUUGGGCGUAAAGAGCUCGUAGGCGGUGUGUCGCGUCGGCCGUGAAAACCUGUGGCUUAACCAUGGGCUUGCGGUCGAUACGGGCAUCACUGGAGUUCGGCAGGGGAGACUGGAAUUCCUGGUGUAGCGGUGAAAUGCGCAGAUAUCAGGAGGAACACCGGUGGCGAAGGCGGGUCUCUGGGCCGAUACUGACUACGAGGAGCGAUAGCAGGGUGAGUGAUCAGGAUUAGUUACCAUGCUAGUGCUCGUCAUAAUCAGUGGGCGCUAGGAGUGGGGACCAUUGCACGGUGUGUUCCUCGCAAUAUAACGCAUUAAGCGCCCCGCACCAGGAGUACGCAGUCAAGGCUAAAGAUCAACAGAAAUGACGGUAUCCCGCACAAGCGCAGGAGCAUGUGGCAUAAUUUGACGCAAGGCGAAGCACCUUACCUGGGAGCUACAUGCAUUCGAUAAGUCUAGAGAUAGCUGUCCCCCUGUGGGUGGUCGCCAGGUGGGGCAUGUAGGUGGUCAGCUCGUGUUGUGCGAGUAUGGUCUAACUCGCUUAAUGAGCGCAGAAAGAGGUUCACAACCCCAAGGGGGUCAUCCGGCGAGUCAUGGGAGUGUGUCGGGGUCAACUCCGAGGAACAAUGGGACGCCGUCAAGUCAUCAUUAGGAGUAUGUGCAGGGUUUCACACACAGUGCAAUGGGCAGUACAGACGGGCCGGAGACCGGUAGUUGGAGCGAUUGCCCAUCAGCCCGUCUCCAAUCGGAUAGGGGUCGGCACCUUGACCACGCGAAAAACGAGUCACUAGUAAUCCCAAUCAGCCAGGUCAUAUGUGAAUAUUUUCCCGGUCUUCCACACUUAUCCCAGACACGUCGGCAAAUCUGGUAACGUGUUGAAGCCGCCGUCGUAGCUCGUGAGGGAGGGAAUUGUCGAAGGUGGGACUGGCGAUGGGGAAGAAGUCGUAACAAGGUAGCCGUUCCGGAAGGAGCGGCUGGAUCACCUCCUUUCU
rnacentral:rRNA from 1 species